rnacentral:rRNA from 1 species
UAGGGAAUCUUCCGCAAUGGGCGAAAGCCUGACGGAGCAACGCCGCGUGAGUGAUGAAGGUCUUCGGAUCGUAAAACUCUGUUAUUAGGGAAGAACAAAUGUGUAAGUAACUAUGCACGUCUUGACGGUACCUAAUCAGAAAGCCACGGCUAACUACGUGCCAGCAGCCGCGGUAAUACGUAGGUGGCAAGCGUUAUCCGGAAUUAUUGGGCGUAAAGCGCGCGUAGGCGGUUUUUUAAGUCUGAUGUUAAAGCCCACGGCUCAACCGUGGAGGGUCAUUGGAAACUGGAAAACUUGGGUGCAGAAGAGGAAAGUGGAAUUCCAUGUGUAGCGGUGAAAUGCGCAGAGAUAUGGAGGAACACCAGUGGCGAAGGCGACUUUCUGGUCUGUAACUGACGCUGAUGUGCGAAAGCGUGGGGAUCAAACAGG